UCCCGCCUUGGCCUCCUAAAGUGCUGGGAUCACAGGCAUGAGCCACUGUGCCUGGCCUGAUUUAAUUCUUCUUCUUCACCUGAUCCAGUUUUCUCCAUGAAGACUUGAGACCAAGUCACAGUAGGUUUGGACCCAAAUGUAUGCUGCUCCUCUCUCCCCAUGUUCUUUGCUUCUGUUCUUAGCCUGGGGUAAAGUCCUCCUUGUCCUGGGCCAGACAUACUGUCAAGAGAAAGCUUGGUAUUGGACUGACUCCAUUUAAAGAACCUUAUUUUAUGAAUCUGUCCCAGGAAAAUAUAGUAACUCGUUAACAGUUUUGAAUGAUUUGUUCUUUGCUUUUUGGCAAAUUUCAGUUUAUCCUUGCUAGAGGGAAAACAAUAAAAUCCACAAGUAAUUCCCAAUUUUCAACCUAGCCCAGCAAUUUAACCUCCUCACUCACUUUGCCAAGGCUACUAAUAAGUAGCUGUGUGCCUGGCCUGCUUUCCUUCUCUCCUCUCCCUGGUCCUGCCCAUUGGCAGGGAGCCUCUUGUGAGUCAUAAGAUGACCAAGAGAUCACACGGCGAGAGACUGAAAGAAAAGCAGCAAAGCCCUGGGUAAUCAAGGCCCUAAACGGAAAGUGUCAGGAUCUUGGGGAUCGUAUUGUAUAAAAUGGAUGAAAACAGAGCUAUUGGGUUUGAAGCACUCCUGAACCCUCUCAUGGAACCCUAUGUCUUCCUGGAGUCUACAGAGCUAUUGGGUUUGAAGCACUCCUGAACCGUCUAGUAGAACCCUAUGUCUUCCUGGAGUCUACAGAGCUAUUGGGUUUGAAGCACUCCUGAACCGUCUAGUAGAACCCUAUGUCUUCCUGGAGUUUACAGAAAAAGAGACUCAGGGAUUUUCCCAAAGCACACUGCAAGUUAGGGGCAGGAAUGACAGCCCAGACCUUCUGGUUUCCAGUCCAGGGCUCAACUGCCUAAACAGUGGCAUCUCUUCAGGCAGGCCCUGUCAGAGGCAGAUUAGGGGACUUGUCCAAAGUUACUCAACUAUGAAGAGUCAAGAUUCAAAUCCAGAGACAUCUGACUUCAUUUCCCUUCAUUAACAACCAUCUAAGGAAGUUCCUAUUACUUUGGGAACUCCUAGUAGCAGGUGGUUAAAAAAAACUCCUGGACAACAUACUAUGCUAUUUGAAUCAUCCUACUUCUUACGCGUUCCUCCAGGAUGCACUCUUCUCCCAUUCUGAAACUGACAGUUCUCUUUACAAACUGUGUAUGUUUCAUUCCUGGAUUGCAUCUGAGCUGCCGCCAUGGAACGGGCAUUGAGUUUUAGCGUGUGUGAUGUCCCAUGUGUUCAUUUUGUCUCCCCACACUAUAAACUUGAGAGGCAAGGCCAACUCUUUUAUGUCUUCAAAUGCUUUGCUGCCAAACACAGGAUUGGAAAUGGCCAACAAAGACUAAAAUGCUACUUCUCUACCCUUUUCACUAUGCCAUCUACUGGAAAUUUAAGCAAGACUUGCAGAGAUCACUUCAGGUUAUCUGUUCCCCUGCAAGAAACACUUGUGGUUUGGCCUGAAAUAGUUUUCUGCUGAUUCUUUCUCUACAGCCCUGAACCCUAAAAACAAAUGAAAUGCAUCAACACAAUACUAAAUGCCUACAUAUUAUUACUAUUAUGUCUUUAAAAAAAGAGUGAAAGCUUUUUCAUGUUUGCUUUAAAUCAACCAUGUAGAAACUGGAGGGACCAGUGAAGAGGAAUAGAGGGAAUGAACUCAAAUGCUCUAACUUGCAAUAGGACAGUUGGGUUCUUACUUUGACUCACCUGACCUUUACAACCAUUAGCCAGCUCACAUGAUGCCCAAACAAGUUGCUGAGCCUCCUGCCCAUCCUCUGUAUAUAUCCCUGGUUUCCUGUCUCAAGCUUUAGGCUAAUCUCCAUCAACACUGACCUCACAUGAAUACUAAAUGCAGAUGUCUGACCUCAUAUUUCUCUGCCAGUCAGAUCCCUGGCCUCUUUACUACAGACCUUAAGGACCAGUUCUCAAACUCAUCUCAUUGGCAUCUUUUCACAUCACGAAAUCUAUCUGGUCAGGAUUUGAAUAAAACUGUAUUUUUACUUUAAUACAAAAGAGUCAACAUGGGCAGUGACUAAAUAAAGGGGGUGGGGACAGAGUUAACACGAGCCACCUAUGCUGUUACAUAUAUAUAUAUCCCGAUUAAUUUCAGUUGGUGAAGAGGAAGACCCUCGGGCACAGAUUUCAACACUGUGCUGGACUCAGACCCAAAAUCCUUUGACUUAUUUUUAUUUUUUGGGAUGAGGUCUCGCUAUGUUGCCCAGGCUGGAGUACAGUGGCUAUUCAUAGGCACUAUCAUAGUGCAGGGUAGCCUUGAACUCCUGGCCUCAUGAUCCUCCCACCUCAGCCUCCCUAGUGGCUGGUAGCUGGGACUACAGACACAACCAGCCCUCUGACUUAUUUUUACUACUCUGCUGUGAAACUCACCCGAUCUUUACUUUGGCCUUCAUUAUUGAGGCUUCCUUAAAGCAGUGGUUCUCAAAGUACCAGGUCCUGAUCAGCAGCAUCAGCAUCAAUUUGUUAAAAAUACAAAUGCUCUAUGGGGCCCUACCUCAGACUUACUGAAUCAAAACUCCUUAGUCAAGACUUAACUGCUGGUAAGUGACUGAGUUUUUGGUCAAAGGCAUUUCCUUUUAGCACUUGUUCUCUGGGUCCUGAUUUUUCUUUACUUAUUUCAACAGAAUGACCUUUCCCAUUGUAUUCCAUCAGAGAGUGCUAAUUAGAAGCAAAACCACAGCUUAAUUGUCUUUUUUUUUUUUUAACUUCGCAUUCCCAAGUUACACCGUCAUUUUCUUUUUGUGACUAUGCCCUUGAAAAUCUAGGGCAAUAGGUCUGCUCAGUGUUGUUGAUUUUCUUAUCCACAAGACUGGUUUCACUUUAUUAGAACUUUCUAGUUCCAAAAUUAGGCUAUCCUGCUAACUUCCUUCCCACUUGAGUGUUCCACUACAUACAUUCCACAGCCCUUUACACUUGGAAAUACUUUCACACAUUGGCUUGCAGGCUAGAUAGAUUGUCCACCUUUUAUCUGUAAAAGGUAAAACAGAAACUCAGUGAGAUUAAAGCCAUAGCUAUAAAGUAGUGAAGUUUAAAGUUCUGGUACCUACUUCAGUCCCUGACUCAUAACAAGCGCUCAAUAUAUUUAACAAGUAUGUGAAUGACCAUGGAAGCCAGAUCUUUGACUUCUAGGCUGGUUUUCUUUCUCUUUUUUUUUUGAGAUGGAGUCUCGCUCUGUUACCCAGGCUGGAGUGCAGUGGCACGAUCUCGGCUCACUGCAACCUCCGCCUCCCAGGUUCAGGCAAUUCUCCUGCCUCAGCCUCCCAAGCAGCUGGGAUUACAGGUGCACGCCACCAUGCCCAGCUAACUUUUGUAUUUCUAGUAGAAACGGGGUUUCACCAUGUUGGCCAGGCUGGUCUCGAAAUCCUGACCUCAAGUGAUCCGCCUGCCUUGGCCUCCCAAAGUGCUGGGAUUACAGGCAUGAGCCACUGCACCCAGUUUCUGGCUGGUCCUUUCUAUCUCUAGAUCACACAAUCUCUCAUGUUACAUAGUUGUGGGAAUAGACAAGUCUAGCUCCAAAAAGCGUUAAUAAUCUUGUCCCAUUUAUUUUCCUAGCUCCCAAGUUGUGAUGUUGCCACCAGUAUUAGAACACAGUGGUCUCCAAAAUCUUGCCAAUGAAUCCUCCAAGGUGCGUACCAAGUUCCGGAAUAACUGAAAGAACAUCACAUACACAGGCUGGGUACAGUAGCUCACAUCUGUAAUCCCAGCACUUUGGGAGGCCGAGGUGGGAAGACUGCUUAAGGCCAGGAGUUCAAGACCACCCUGGGCAACAUAGUGAGACCUUGUCUCUACCCUCCUCCCCAACCCCCCCCAAAAAAGCACCACCUGUCAAGGAGAAUGGCAUGGCGACAUGGCUGAAACACAGAGCCUUAUCUAAAGACCCACAGGGCUAGAAUGGAGAAAGAACUCUCAGAACAAAUUUCAGAUAGGUAAAAAACCUGGUAAUGUCAGUAGAAAAUGAGAAACAAAUAGUCUGGCUUCCUUCAAGGACUAAAGGACCUGAGUUACUCCCAUACAAUGGUGGAGAGUAGAGCCCACAAGAUUACUGAAUAGCAGAGAUCUUUGCAAUGAAUGCCAGCUUCCAGUACACACUUCCACAGGAAAGUGAAGGUUAAUCUAGCUUAAUUCAGUGCUUUAACUCCUCUAUACCUCUGACAGGAGAAAGAAAACCAGGCUACACUGGAAGUUAAAUCUCAGUUGGACUUAAACUUUUUCUAGUUUUCUUUUUUUUUGGAGACGGAGUUUCACUCUUGUUGCCAGGGCUGGAGUGCAAUGGCACAAUCUCGGCUCACUGCAACCUCCGCCCCCCGGGUUCAAGCAAUUCUCCUGUCUCAGCCUCCCAAGUAGCUGUGAUUACAGGCACCUGCCACCACACUGGCUAAUUUUUUAUUUUUUUUUAUAGAGACGGGGGUUUCACCAUGUUCGCCAGGCUGACCUCAGGUGAUCUGCCCGCCUCGGCCUCCCAAAGUGCUGGGAUUAUAAGCGUGAGCCACCGCACCCGGGACUUUUUCUAGUUUUCAACAUUGUUAUCUAUACAUCCUCAAGUGUAAGCUGUCACAGGAAGAAAAAUGUGUCUUUUUUUUUUUUUUUUUUUUUUUUGAGACAGUCUUGCCCUGUCACCCAGGCUGGAGUGCAGUGGCGUGAUCUCGGCUCACUACAACCUCCACCUCCCGGGUUCAAGCAAUUCUCCUGCCUCAGCUUCCUGAGUAGCUGGGACUACAGGCACCUGCCACCAUGCCUGGCUAAUUUUUGUAUUUUUAGUAGAGACAGGGUUUCACCAUAUUGGCCAGACUGGUCUUGAUCUCCUGACUUUCUGAUCUGCCCACUUCGGCCUCCCAAAGUGCUGGGAUUACAGGUGUGAGCCACCGCGCCCGGCCAAUUAUUUCUUUCUUUCUUUCUUUUUCUUUUUUUUUUUUUUUUUUUGAGACGGAGUCUUGCCCUGUCACCCAGGCUGGAGUGCAGUGGUGCGAUCUUGGCUCACGGCAAGCUCCACCUCCCAGGUUCACGCCACUCUCCUGCCUCAGUCUCCUGAGUAGCUGGGACGACAGAUGCAUGCCACUACGCCUGGCUAAUUUUUGUAUUUUUAGUAGAGGCGGAGUUUCACCAUGUUGGCCAGCUGGUCUCGAACUCCUGACCUCAGGUAUCUGCCUGCCUCGGCCUCCCAAACUGUUGGGAUUACAGACAUGAGCCACCGUGCCUGGCAAAAUGUGUAGUUCUUUUACAUGGGCAAGUUUCUACUAUUAAAAAAAAAAUAACCAUGACAGGGCAUCCUAAGUAGCCUAGUUAGCAGUGGCAGCUACUGCCCUCAGUAGCACGUCAUAAGCAAGAGCAAAGUAAACAUCCAAAUAAAAUGAAUUAAGCCAGCUUGCCACAGCCUAGCAUUGCAAGUCUACAGUAUGCAAUUUCACAUGUCAAAUCAGCAAGAAAAUUCCUAAAGUCUUUAGCUAAAAUUACAGUAAUUAAACAACUCUUUUGAUAAGCACUUGAGUAAGAACCCCAGAUAUUCCUGAAGAAACUGUGUUACAGCUCAAAAGAAUUUAGGAGCCUAGUGUAGUAAGGCCCGUUGUAUUGCCUGACUUUUACUCAGGGCUCAACCCAGUUUCAAGCCUACUUAAUAAUUCGUAUCCCAAGAAAGCCCUUAUUAGCCUCUUUGCUAGCUGAAUAAAUUCUAACUCCACCAUGGCUUCUGUGGAGGCCCAGGCUAUGAUAUGUUGCAGAAAUAGUGUCUGAGGACAAAGAACAGAUAAGAAAGUUAAACUCUGCAUAACCCAUUCAGUAAUGUGUAAUGAAAAUAUCACUCUCAAAAGUGGAAGUCUCCCCUUUCUUCUGAAGGGCAUUAAGGGAUACUCAUGGCUCAGCAAAUUCUGAAGUAGAAAUUGUCACAGUGCUGUAGGUGGAAGAGACUCAACAAUGCCAUCAUGAAAAAAACUUCUGGAAUUAUUCACAACAGUAAAAUUAUGACCAACUUACAGUCCUAGGAGAUGGAUUGCAGAAAUCUUUAAGACCAUCCAUAAGAAAUGGCUUUCAAACUUAUUUGAAAUCAAUUUGACAUCACAACCCACUUUUCAUACAUGUAUAAACUGAAAUUGGUUUCACAAAGUAUUAUUUCCCUUAUAACAUGCUACAUAUUUUCCCUUCUAUUAAAAAAGUUGGCUGUCACCCAUGAAGUUUGUUACCAGUUGGUCAUGACUAGAGGUUAAAAAGCACUGAUCAAUUGCUGUAAUCUUAAAAAAAAAAAAAAAAAGGCAACAUAACACAGUUGCUAAGAGUACUAACUUUGAAGUAGGACUGCCCAGGUUCAAAUCCUGACACCGCUACUUGGCUAUGAAGCCCAAGUCCUAGGUCAUGUCACUAACUUCGGUGCUUCAGUUUCCCCCUCCAGAAAUCAAGAGAAACCUUCUAAUAAAACUUUGUUAUCAAACUGAGUUUUAUUUGUGAGGAUGCCUAAAAAACAUGCCUAUUAAGAAGUGAAGAUGCUGGCCCCAAGAUUCCGUGUAGCUUGCCAGUGAGUGGGAAGAUUGGCCCGGGACCCUGGCUGAUGGCCUUUCCACUAUAUUGCAGCAUUGAGCAUGCAAAUAACAUUGAUUAUAUAAGGGCCUUUGGUGUAAAGCAUGUAAAAUAAAUGUGACAAGCAA